rnacentral:rRNA from 1 species
GACGAACGCUGGCGGCGUGCUUAACACAUGCAAGUCGAACGGAAAGGCCCUGCUUUUGUGGGGUGCUCGAGUGGCGAACGGGUGAGUAACACGUGAGUAACCUGCCCUUGACUUUGGGAUAACUUCAGGAGACAGGGGCUAAUACCGGAUAGGAGCUCCUGCUGCAUGGUGGGGGUUGGAAAGUUUCGGCGGUUGGGGAUGGUCUCGCGGCUUAUCAGCUUGUUGGUGGGGUAGUGGCUUACCAAGGUUUUGACGGGUAGCCGGCCUGAGAGGGUGACCGGCCACAUUGGGACUGAGAUACGGCCCAGACUCCUACGGGAGGCAGCGGGGGGGAAUAUUGCACAAUGGGCGGAAGCCUGAUGCAGCAACGCCGGGUGCGGGAUGACGGCCUUCGGGUUGUAAACCGCUUUCGCCUGUGACGAAGCGUGAGUGACGGUAAUGGGUAAAGAAGCACCGGCUAACUACGUG